UGUCCACUUUCCCCACGGAAUGUAAGCUUUCUGUUUCUUGUCACCUAAGCACUUCUCUAUUUCCACUGUCCAAACAAUGCCUGGCAUACAUUUGCUGGUCCAUAAGUAUUUUUUGAAUGAACGAUGCUAAUUGGUUGAAAUCGAUGAGGUCAGGAAUAUUUCUGUUGGAUUUGAUAGUAUGCCAUUUGUCAGUGUCCUUGCUGAACAGUUUAAAUGGAGCACUAAGGGUGCAAGUCAGAACAAAUUGAUUAAGGAGAACCUGGAAGUAAGUAAUUAGAGAAAAGAUAUUAGACAACAGUUUUGAGAAGUUAACUGAGAAGACAGACAUGGGACUGGUGGUAUCUGCAGAAGUUAAGUGAGGUCAAGAAGAUAAAUCUUUGAGGUAGCAGUAAUAAAUGUAAAUCAGAGCCCAAAUGACAGGGUUAACCUUUAUAUGGGAGAAACAUGUAAAUGACAAAGAUAGCUAUAAAUGUAGACUUGUGCAGUUUGUGGAGGGAGAGAGAGUAGAGCCCUAACCUGGUUGCUAUAGGAGAAAUGGUGCUAGGUACUAGGUGGAAGGGGAACCAGGCCCUGUGGAACGUGAAGGAGGCUUGCCUGUCUUUGCCAAGCCAGAAGUUACAGUUGGGGCCCUGGGGGGUUGCAAGAUUCCUCUUUUUGACAUUAUUUCAGGAGCCUCUAGAUAUUUCCUCUCAGUGAGCAGUCCUGGCAGAUGGUGGAUGGGGAAGGCAGGAUAAGGGAAGAGGUAGAAAGUAGCACCUAUCUAUGUAUCUCCUUGUUUUAAUCAAGAAUGAUAUUCUCUGUGUUGGGAAAUCAUUUGGGUUUAUGUGAUAGAAAAAAAAAUCAUCUCUUUUUCCUUCUUCUCUGGCAUCUUCCUCUAGAUGGAGUCUUUUGAGGCUGGAAGAGAAUAUAGGGUUGACCCUGCA
rnacentral:lncRNA from 1 species